rnacentral:rRNA from 1 species
CACGGGGGGAGCAAGCGUUGUUCGGAUUCAUUGGGCGUAAAGGGCUCGUAGGUGGCUUCGUAAGUCGGAGGUGAAAUCCCACGGCUCAACCGUGGACACGCCUUCGAAACUGUGAAGCUGAGGCUGGGAGAGGAGACGGAAUUCCUGGUGUAGCGGUGAAAUGCGUAGAUAUCGAGGAGGAACACCGGGUGGCGAAGGCGGAUCUCUGGACCAGUU